rnacentral:rRNA from 2 species
ACCCCUUCCCAUCCCGAACAGGACCGUGAAACAACUCCACGCCGAUGAUAGUGCGGAUUGCCCGUGUGAAAGUAGGUAAUCGUCAGGC